rfam:Felis catus isolate Cinnamon breed Abyssinian chromosome C1, whole genome shotgun sequence.
GGAUUGAGGACAAUCUGGUUGUGACAUCUGUCACCCCGUUGAUGACCAAGGUUGAUUGGACUGAUCUGGCUGGACAGGUGGGUGUCCCCUUUCUCUCUCACAACUCCAUAUGUGUCCCUCCAAAAGUUGUGUGCUGGGUUGAAGAGGACGACCUUCCCUAUAGAGGAGGAUCAUUCUUCAGUCAAAGGGUAUACAAGUAGUUCUGCUCCCCUGCUAGAACCUCCAAACAAGCUCUCAAGGUCCGAUUGUAGAAGGCAGGGUAGUCAAGUUUCCAAGGCUUCAGACACAUCCAAAUAAGGUGCUGCAUGUGGCAGUCGCCUUUAACA